rnacentral:lncRNA from 1 species
AAAAUGUAAAAAAUAAUCGAAAUACUAACUUACAGGAUUAUUCAAAUCCAAACCCAAAGACCAGCCUCUUAUCGAAAAUCAAAGAUAUCUACCAAUGCCAAUUUUUUUCAUAUUAUUUUGGGCCUUAUAUGAAGAUGUUUUUAAAAAAUUUAAUCAGCUUGUUGCAAUAAAUUUAGGGCACACUCGGUAUAAAACCCUAGAGAACACGUGAUAUAUGCACAAUUGUCUCUGCUAUCAAAAUACGAUUUUUUUUAGAUAUUGACGAAAC